rnacentral:rRNA from 1 species
AUGAUUUCUUCGAUCUCCCCAGGCGACGGAGCACGCCGGGAUCGCCGAGCAGCGAGUACAUGCUCCCCAUUAGGUCUUGCGGUUUGGCUGAUGGAAGAAGGGGAACAUCAACCCGGACGGCUGAUGCAAACUCCGGCCUCCAUGGAUAGAGAGGUAGAGCAGAUGGGAGACGAAGGAGAAGCAGCAGUUCAUACUGGAUCAGUUCAGACGGCGUCAUCAACCAGGUCCACAUCACACACUUCCAGAAUUGCUAUUCAGAAAGUUAUAGAUGUGGUUGGUGCAUUAUCGGAUUACAAACGAUUCUUGGUCGAGGAGAUUGGUUUUGAUGGUGUGCUGCGCAUCCCCAUGAUUCAAAAAAUCAACCUGAAGUUCAGCAAGUUCCUCAUGAGCAAGGUCGUCGUGAAAGAUCACUGUAUUAUCUUGAGGGACGGUGGAACGCCGAUUACAUUCUACCCGGAGGAUUUCCACAAAGUUUUCAGCAUCCCAUGUGGAGAGCAAGACAUACACGGAAAGGAUGCUGAGAUCACACCUGAAGCAAUCGAGUUCAUCAGGAACUCUAUAGGUUGGGCUGACAAAUCUGACCGCAGUUUAAGCUCGGUCGAAGCGUUCAUCGGGAAGGAAAUAACUGAACUAUCAAGCCGAUGA